ACGGUCCUAAGGUAGCGAAAUUCCUUGUCGGGUAAGUUCCGACCUGCACGAAUGGCGUAACGAUCUCCACACUGUCUCGGCCAGAGACUCGGUGAAAUUGAAGUCGCGGUGAAAAUGCCGUGUACCCGCAGAAAGACGGAAAGACCCUGUGCACCUUUACUAUAGCUUGACAUUGGGAUUUGAGCCUGCAUGUGUAGCAUAGGUGGGAGGCUGUGAACUCUGUACGCCAGUAUGGAGGGAGCCAUCGUUGAAAUACCACCCUUGUUUGUUCAGGUCCCUAACUCUUCGCCGUAAUCCGGUAAGAGGACAGUGUCUGGUGGGUAGUUUGACUGGGGCGGUCGCCUCCCAAAAUGUAACGGAGGCAUGCAAAGGUUCCCUCAGGCUGAUUGGAAACCAGCCGUCGAGUGCAAACGCAAAAGGGAGCUUGACUGCAAGAGAGACAUCUCGAGCAGGUACGAAAGUAGGUGUUAGUGAUCCGGUGAUCCCGAAUGGAAGGGUCAUCGCUCAUUGGAUAAAAGGUACGCCGGGGAUAACAGGCUGAUCGCAUCCAAGAGUUCACAUCGACGAUGCGGUUUGGCACCUCGAUGUCGGCUCAUCACAUCCUGGGGCUGAAGCAGGUCCCAAGGGUACGGCUGUUCGCCGUUUAAAGUGGUACGCGAGCUGGGUUUAAAACGUCGUGAGACAGUUUGGUCCCUAUCUUCUGUGGGCGUAGGAGAAUUGAAAGGGCCUGUCCCUAGUACGAGAGGACCGGGAUGGACACACCACUGGUGGACCUGUUGUCGUGCCAACGGCACAGCAGGGUAGCUAUGUGUGGAAGGGAUAACCGCUGAAAGCAUCUAAGCGGGAAGCCUGCCUUAAGAUAAGUUCUCCCUGACGCAAGUCCUGAAGGGCCGAGGUAGACGACCUCGUUGAUAGGCUGGAGGUGGAAGCCCUGUGAGGGGUGGAGCUGACCAGUACUAAUAGCCCGUGCGUCUUGUUUCU
rnacentral:rRNA from 2 species